rnacentral:rRNA from 1 species
GAUGAACGCUAGCUACAGGCUUAACACAUGCAAGUCGAGGGGAAACGAUAGAGAAAGCUUGCUUUUUCUAGGCGUCGACCGGCGCACGGGUGAGUAACGCGUAUCCAACCUGCCCAUCACUUGGGGAUAACCUUGCGAAAGUAAGACUAAUACCCAAUGACGUCUCUAGAAGACAUCUGAAAGAGAUUAAAGAUUUAUCGGUGAUGGAUGGGGAUGCGUCUGAUUAGCUUGUUGGCGGGGUGACGGCCCACCAAGGCGACGAUCAGUAGGGGUUCUGAGAGGAAGGUCCCCCACAUGGGAACUGGGACACGGUCCAAACUCCUACGGGAGGCAGCAGUGAUGAAUAUUGGUCAAUGGACGAGAGUCUGAACCAGCCGAGUAGCGUGCAGGAUGACGGCCCUAUGGGUUGUAAACUGCUUUUAUAAGGGAAUAAAGUGAGUCUCGUGAGACUUUUUGCAUGUACCUUAUGAAUAAGGACCGGCUAAUUCCGUGCCAGCCGCCGCCGUAA